UACGUAGGGGGCAAGCGUUGUCCGGAAUCAUUGGGCGUAAAGAGCGUGUAGGCGGCCCGGUAAGUCCGCUGUGAAAGUCCAGGGCUCAACCCUGGGAUGCCGGUGGAUACUGUCGGGCUCGAGUCCGGAAGAGGAGUGUGGAAUUCCUGGUGUAGCGGUGAAAUGCGCAGAUAUCGGGAAGAACACCUAUGGCGAAGGCAGCUCUCUGGGACGGUACUGACGCUGAGACGCGAAAGCGUGGGGAGCAAACAGG
rnacentral:rRNA from 1 species